GCCUUGGUCUCACGCAAUGGGGCCCUGUGAACCCCGUCAGGUCCGGAAGGAAGCAGCGGUAAGCGGAUCGUUCCAUGUGCCGUGAGGGCGCCUGGGGACUGU
rnacentral:SRP_RNA from 1 species